CGCGUUGUCCAUGACGACAACGCUCCGAUUCCAUAAUAUAUGGGUGAGUCCGCACGGUCUCUUUCGCUUUCGAAUCUAGAACUAAAAUUCUGAACCCUAAUUCCAAAACCACGUUUUCGAAAUUGAAAGCCCGCCAAGCCACCGCUUUCCCCACCCCCUUUUAACGGUCCCGCUAUUCCGAUUGCGUCGUUCGAAGGAUCUCCCUCAGCUAGCCACUUGCUCCACUCUUUCGGUGGAUAUGUCUUCAUCUGUUCCUCAAGAUUCUGAUUCCACCCCACAGAUCUACUCCCGGAAAGACAAGUCACUUGGGUUACUUUGUUCUAACUUCUUCAAACUAUAUAAUCGCGAAGGAAUUGGGACGAUUGGACUCGACGAUGCUGCUUCCCGACUAGGAGUUCAGCGUCGCCGCAUGUAUGAUGUAGUCAACAUAUUGGAGAGUGUUGGAAUCGUGGCAAGAAAAGGGAAAAAUCUAUACCUAUGGAAAGGUUUCAGCGAAAUUCCUCGAGCUUUGAACGAGCUUAAGGAAGAGGGUAUGAGAGAAAAAUUUGAUGCAGCGUACUGCAGGCCAGCUGAAGCAUCGAAGGACAAAGAAACCAGUGGUUCUGAAACCAAAACCGAUCCUUUGGCAAUGACAUUGCCCAAAACUGACGGCUGCAGAAGAGACAAAUCUCUAGCACUUUUGACGGAGAAUUUCAUAAAGCUCUUCCUCUGUUCAGAUGUUGAAAUUAUCUUGCUUGAAGAUGCUGCAAAGAUAAUGCCGGGUGAUGCCCAGAAUUCAACUGCCUUGAGAACAAAAGUCAGACGUUUAUAUGACAUAGCGAAUGUUCUUUCAUCCAUUAAUCUGAUUGAGAAGACCAAUCAUCCCGAGUAUAGGAAAACAGCAUAUAGGUGGUUGGGAGGAAAAGCCAGCAGAGAAUCUAACGGCAUCUUGGAUCAAAGUGCAUCCAGGAAAAGAGUGUUUGGAGCGGAAAUUACAAAUUACAGUUUAAAGAGAAAUAAAACAGAUCCUUCAAUCGAGUUGCGGACCCAUGAAAAGAUUAUGCCAGUGUAUAAAAAACAAGAUGAGUUGGAAAAUGAAUACAGAUGUAAAACGUUGGAGCACCCUCCUAAAUGCAGUUCAAAAUCUAUAGACUUUGGCCCAUUUGCUCCCGUCAAGUUUAGAAGAGAAGAUCCAGAGCACAGACAUAUGAGGCAGGUUCAUGACAUAGAAACGAUGAGUUCUAAAUAUCGCCCUGAGUAUCACAAACAAGUGACCCAAUUGUAAGGGAUGAGUUCGUUGAUGGCGUGACAGCUGUGAGUGAGCGACCUCUUUGCUCAUUGCUGCGUGUAAGUCGUGGCUUGUUGAAGCAGCAGCGCGGCGACAGAUAUCUCCAUUCAUGGGGGAUAACGAACAGUACAGGAGGGUCACAUCCAAAGUGCAACGCAGUUGUCAACAAAUGAGGAUGCGUGAUAGGCGAUGGACGUUGUUUGUUUGGACAGAAUUAGAUAUUGAGGCACGACAACCUGAAAUUAAAUGGGAUUUUAGAGAUGAAAAAUAGGGUCACCAUUCAUAAACAAGGGUGUUGAGGAACGUCGUUCCGAAAGAAUCUUGGGAUUUUUGUGGUGUUAAGCCGCUAAGACGCGCCACUAGGUCCCCUAUAUGGCCCAUUCGUUCUUUGCGGCUGCGCAGCUUCUAUUCUAUGGUCUGUUGUGUCCUUUAGAUUCGUUUUAAAUUUUCAAGCCCUUGCUUCCUGGGCCGUCUGCCACCACUGAAAUUUUGAGAUUCACCUAUUUUCCUCAAUUCCAUGCUUAGACUUAAACUUAAUUUGGAUGUUGUGUUUUUGCCUUUACUUAGGUGCCUUCCCGUUCUUUCUUUAACGCUUGAAGGAAGCUUGCGUAGCAUUUUUAUCUUUAAU